UCUUUCUUCUUUCUAUUUUCUUUUCUCUCUUUCUUCUUCUUCUUCUUUUCUCUGGCGAUUCAGAGACGAAAUCUCUAUUAAGGAACUUCACUAAAAUUUAGUAAAACCAAUCAAUCGAGUGUGUUGAUGAGUUAAUAGUUUGGGUUUGGUUAGAAACUUCGAUUGAGUUGAGGAGAAGUGAUUCUGUGAAGAAAUUAGGGUUCAUGAAAUCAAUUUCGGGAUUCAGUUAAGGGUGAAGAAGAAAGAAUCAAAGGAUGGGUUUGAUAAAUUGGAAGGUUUGAUUGAUGUUUUGAGGUUGAAUUAGAGAAUAGAAUCUCUGAGACUUGAAUUAGGGUUUGAGUUGGAAAUUCAGAUGAAGAACUAGAAGAUGAAUUUGAAGGUUUAAGUGACGAACUAAAGAUGGGUUUUGUUUGAAUUGAAGUUUUUAGGUUGGUUCAGUGAUGAAUCAGUGAAUCAGGGUUGGUGUUCUGUUCUUCCCCAAUUUAUGAGUUUGGGUUGAUGAUGAAGUAAUUGAGUGAAAUAACAAGAGAUGAAAGGUUGGGUUUUACUGAUAUGAUGUGAAGAUGAAGGUUAUGAAGCUGAUGAAGAACUAGGGUUUGGUUCUUCCAUUAAGAAGGGCUAUGUAUAGAUGAGUAUUGUUCUGGAUUAGUGUCUUGUUGGUGUUGAGCUGAAUUCCAAAUGAUGGAGUUAUACUGAGAUUGUAGAUUUGGUUAUGGAUUUUGAUAAGUGGUUGUUUGUAUGAUAAUCUGUAUGGAAUAGUCUUAUGGACAUAGCAGGAGGAUGAGUCUAGUAAGUUAGUGUUACAGAUAAUGGUGAUAUUGAGAUUUCAGUUCAUUUAUUUGAACUCAAUUGAUAUGGGUUGUUAUAGUGGUGGUGUUUUACAGUGGUAGAGGAUUUUAGGGGAUACAAGUAUGAACUGACUUAUGAUAUGCACAAGGUCUUGGAGGUGCAAGAGAAUGAAUGUGAAGUGAGUUGUUGGAUGUUUCUGUGAGAGAUAAGGUUAGAUGGCUCCUUGUGGCUGUGGUUCUAAGGACUACAGGGUUGGCUGUAAACUGAGUAUGGAUCAGAAACUCUAGAGUUUAGUCUUGGUAGUGAUGUUUUGGUGGAAUUGAUAACAUUGAGCUGAGUUCAGUAACAGAGCUGUAAUUGCAGGUAAACUAAUUUAUCAGUUGUACAUGAUUUAUGGAGUUUAAAUUGAGGAAAGUGUAUUGUUAUAACUGUUGAUUAUUAAAGUUGAAUUGUUAUAGA